rnacentral:misc_RNA from 1 species
GACUCUUUCGGGUAGUCUUCAGAUUAACUUAAUGCUUUUGCUUACGCUAGACUUGGGCAGAGGUUUUCAUUUUAUUUUGCUGAUUUUAGAUAUGCAAAAUUUGAUGGCAUCAUUCUGAAUAAUUUUGCAACUUGGCCAAGUUAUUCUAAUGGUUGACAAAUGAUAGGAUAUCUCCCGGCUGUUGAAGAAAUAAGUUCCAUUUUUGUCUGAUUGAGCUGCAGGCCAUUUGUGAUUCUUCUUCACUAUGUUUUCUCUUAUACUGUGUUUUCUGUUCUCCUGUUUUUGACAACUUCGAGUGAAUCAUAAUAUUUUCCUGGA